ensembl:lncRNA
CCUCUUUCCACUGGGAUUCUCUGCCUCUAACCCUAUUACAGGGGCUGAGUCAUUGGCUUACUGGUGCUCUUUCAUGCCGUCCCUAGGAGGGGUGCAUCACUUGAGUGGGUUGAGUCACUGACGUGAUCUUCCUGUCUGGGUUGGCGUCCCCCCUUGGGUUGUGCCGUGGCGGAGAUCUUGUGGGCUAUACUCAGCCUUGUCUCAGGAUGGUAAGUUGGUGGUUGAAUAUAUCCCUCUAGUGGUGUGGAGGCUGUGCGUUGAUAAAGUGGGUGGGGUUAUAUCCUUCCUGUUUGGCCCUGUCCGGGGGUAUCAUCGGAUGGGGCCACAGUGUCUCCUGACCCCUCCUGUCUCAGCCUCCAGUAUUUAUGCUGCAGUAGUUUAUGUGUCGGAGGGGCUAGGGUCAGUUUGUUAUAUCUGGAGUUCUUCUCCUGUCUUAUCCGGUGUCCUGUGUAAAUUUAAGUAUGCUCUCUCUAAUUCUCUCUUUCUCUCUUUCUUUCUGUCUCUCGGAGGACCUGAGCCCUAGGACCAUGCCUCAGGACCACCUGGCAUGAUGACUCCUUGCUGUCCCCAGUCCACCUGGCCGUGCUGCUGCUCCAGUUUCAACUGUUCUGCUUGCGGCUAUGGAAUCCUGACCUGUUCACCGGACGUGCUACCUGUCCCAGACCUACUGUUUUCAACUCUCUAGAGACAGCAGGAGCGGUAGAGAUACUCUUAACGAUCGGCUAUGACAGGCCAACUGACAUUUACUCCUGAGACAUUAACGAGUGUUUGAAAGGGACUCACCACUGUGUCACCUGGCAGAGUUGCAUCAACACAGAGGGCUUUUUUCGCUUGUCAGCGUGACACAAACUGUGGUACAGGCUACGAACUCACUGACACCAACACCUGCCAAGGACAAUGACUCAAACACACCUCCAGGCUGUGUAAGGGCUAUUUGACCAAGAAGGAGAGAGAUGGAGUGCUGCAUCAGAUGACCUGGCCUCCACAAUCACCCGACCUCAACCCAAUUGAGAUGUUUUGGGAUGAGUUGGACCGCAGAGUGAAGGAAAAGCAGCCAACAAGUGCCCAGCUGUAAUGAUGUACGCUGAGAGUCGGGAAGCAAGUUCAGGGAGUGAAUACAUUUAAUUAAUAAAUGAACAAAACAGGAAACACAAACAGCGCACGGACACGAAACUGGUGGUGGUGCUGGUGGACAGCAUACUUUUAGGACAGCAUGAACUCUCCAGGCUGCAUUCAGUUGCCUUCAAAUUCGAGGCAGCCACGUUUUUCAGUUGUUUGGGUACAAUGUCUUCUAUCGCUCCCUCCAUUGUCAGAUAUUGAUGAGUGUGGCCUGCCAACAGGGGGUCACGGGUGUUCCUACCACUCUUCCAACACCCAAGGCAGCUUCCGCUGUACCUGCCCUCCCAUGAGCUACACCCUCGCCCCCAACAGACAUACUUGCCAAGGCCAGGGAAAAAUAUCAGCAUCCCUCCAUUCCUCCUCUCCUUCAUACAUCCAUUGUCCCUCAUUCUCCCUCACUCUUAGAAAAAAUGGUUAUUCAGCUUUCCCUAUAGGAGAAACCAUUUUGGGUCCAGGUAGAACCCUUUUUGUUUCCAUGUUCUAACUGGAACCAAAAAGGGUUAUUCAAAGUGUUAUUCUAUGGAGACAGCCAAAUAAUGCUUUUAGGUUGUAGAUAAACAUACUCAGAAACAAGGUGCUAUCUAAACAUUAUUGUUUAGAUAAACACAUUGGAAAUAAUGUAUUUUGUGUUUUUGUGAAUGUGUCGAUUAUGUGCAAGUAUGUGCAAAUGUGUUUAGAUGUAAUUUAAUACCAAAAAGGUUUGAACGUGAGACGUCACUAGCAAACCCAUUCCCUUGUUGAAGGGGACCCUAUUUUACUUGGAAGUGAGAUUCUGGUACAGGAGGGUUAGCUUUGCACUAGAUGCUAAGCUAACAAAGGGAGCGCAGCCAUUUUUUUUCUUUGUUCACAGGGUUACACCCUGUGCAUUGGGAAACGGAAUUCCUGCCCUUUGCUUUAGCAAGCUCAUUGAGGCCAACUCUCACAGUACGAAUCCAGUAUUGACGUAAGUCCCGCCUUUGCGGGAAUCCAAUGUGGUUUCAGCCCUCAGGGAUAAGUGACCCCUGGUGGCAAGGAAUCAACAAUUAUUUAUAAAAAAAUAAAAUAACACAUUUCAGUG